rnacentral:rRNA from 1 species
GAUUAACGCUGGCGGCGUGCAUAACACAUGCAAGUCGAACGAUGAAACUUAAAUGAUUUCUUCGGAAUGAUUUUAAGUGGAUUAGUGGCGGACGGGUGAGUAACGCGUGAGUAACCUGCCUUAGAGAUGGGGAUAGCCUCUGGAAACGGAGAAUAAUACCCAAUGAUACUAAGCUAUCGCAUGGUAGCCUAGUCAAAGAUUUAUCGCUCUAAGAUGGACUUGCGUCUGAUUAGCUAGUUGGUGAGAUAAUGGCUCACCAAGGCAACGAUCAGUAGCCGGCUUGAGAGAGUGUACGGCCACAUUGGGACUGAGACACGGCCCAGACUCCUACGGGAGGCAGCAGUGGGGAAUUUUGCACAAUGGGGGAAACCCUGAUGCAGCGACGCCGCGUGAUUUAGAAGGCCUUCGGGUUGUAAAAAUCUUUUGUAUAGGAAGAAAAUGACAGUACUAUACGAAUAAGGACCGGCUAAUUACGUGCCAGCCGCCGCCGUAACAC